GGAAAUGCAUUUUCAAACUAUUCUCUGUUCCUUUUCUGUACCUGAGUAUGACUUUUGUGUCAAUCCUCUCUGGCAUAAGAAUUUUAAUUACUUUCUUGGUCUUUGGUCUGACCAAGAUUAGAGUGAAUUUCUUCCUGCUGGAUCUUUCCAGAUUGCUGGCCGUGAGGCUAUCUGUGGGAGUCAUACAGAAAUAGGUCAUAAUCUAUUAACUGAACGAUUGCUCGUAUAUCCUUUGUGAGUCCUGAAAGUGCUGAGAGCUUUUUAGAAUAGUCUGGAGAUAAUACCCUGGCCUUGUCCAUGCUCAUUUUUUGAAACAAAGCAGAUGUGGAAUAAUUAGUUGUUGGUUCCAUAUUUUUGGAAGAGGAGAGUAAUUUUAUCCCUCAAAGAAUGCACAAAACAGAUGCAUUUCCCCACAGCAGGAGGAGUGCUGUGCACGGGGGUUUACAGGGAUGGAGCGGAAGGAGACGGGGCAGGACUCGAACGAUGAGGAGACACCCUCAAAGCGGGAACUGGCCACACGACAGAAAUAGAGAAGGCAGAAAAGAAGAACGAAAGCAGAAUCAAGAUUCAGAUUCACGUAGACCAGUGGUCGUAACAGGUAUAUGUUGAUGCCUCCGCGAAAAAGAAGAGACAGGAAAAAUCAAAGAAGUGACAUAAAGUUCUUUUCUUGAAAAAUAACAAGAAAAAAGGCAAAACCAAUGGUACAUUUCUGUAAGAUACAUUUCGGGAAGAAGGAAAAUGAUCUCAUGAGAAAUGUCUGUGAGAAGAAAUCAUGCAAGAAGAAAUGCAGCACAAAGAAAGUAGUUAAAAUGAGUGAAAAUGUAAACACCAUAGACUCUAUUGAUCAUGUCCAGUUUUUAGUGUUUAAAGAAAACAAAUGAAACCUACAUUUUGUGGAAGACCAAGCAAGCUGGGAACGGAAUGAGCAGAUUUAAAACAUUGUAAAGCUCUUUAAUGAUUUGGAAGAAAGAUAACAUGCUAAUAUACUCUGAACUGUUUUCAGUUACAUGUCUAUAAUGAUUUAAAGAAUACCAAUUCAAAAGUAUAGAAAUUAACUGUAAAACUUCAUGGAAAAGUAAAAUGAGAAGUUAAAAACAAACAAAGGCCUCUACUAGUCUGAAAAGAGGAAAAUAAAUUAAAUAAAAAAACAAAAACCA
rnacentral:lncRNA from 1 species